rnacentral:lncRNA from 7 species
CUCUGAUUUGUCUCCCUUUUGCAAUGCCUUUAUAUGAGUGUUGCAAUAAGAAGCUGCUGGAGCUGCAGGUGUUCUUUCUGUGGCUAUGAGGUGUCCCUUUCUGUAGGGACUCUGCUCCAUCACCCUCCAGGAACCACCACCUGCCAACCACAGCCCCUUGGGCCUGCAGCACCUUUAGCACAGAGGCCAGAGCCCUCUGAGCUGAAACACACCCAGGAGAGAGCAGAGCAUCCCCAUGGACAGCGUGGGCUCAGAAAAGAGCCGUGCCCAUGCUGGUUUAGCCAUCCCGGAAUCCUAUAGUUACCAAGGUUGGAAAAGACCUCCACGAUCAUCCAGUCCAACCUCCACCUACCACUGGUGUGUCCCCAUCCUGAGCUCCCGCUGCAGGAUUGCCUUGUGAGAAAACAGAAGGGUGAUGUUAAAAGGAUUUGAACCGUUCCUGGAGAUGUCCCAGCAGAGGCUGGAAAGGGAGAAAUGGAGAGCAGCGCAGCACAGCCUGCUCGCAGACGUGGCUUGCAGGGAAACUUGUGAGAGGACAUUGAUUUAUGAUCAAAAGGGAAAAAGCAAAGCAGAAUAAAAAGAAUACUUAAGAC